UUCUUUUUCAGUUUUUAAUAUGUAAUGAUCAUUACUUUGACCAUUGAAUCUUCUGAAAAAUGUAGAAAGGAUAACACUAGAAGUGAACAGUGAUUUCUGAUCUUGAAUAGAUUUAAUGUCAAAUCACUUGCUGUCAGCAAACACACUGGGACAUAGCAGAUGAUAUUCCCAGAGCAGCUGGUUCCUAAACACCCCUUCUCUGAGGAGGACAAACAGUGUAGCUGUUGCAUUUCUUCUGAAUUCAGAGCUGGGCUCCAUAUUUCAACCAAAAGGGGAAGUUGAAGGGCAUUAUGACCAAAAGAGCAGAUUUAAUUUAUAUACUUCAGUGACUAUAAUAUGACAGAUCUGUGUUCCAUUUCACCUGACAUCCCUUGAGUUUUUAUUAAAAUUAUUAUUAAUUUCUUGAGUACAUCUCUUGCUUGAUUGUGCAAUAAUGAGGAGAGAAUUGGUGUGGAGCAGGCUCUUUUCAGGUCCCUCAUAGGAACACCUUGGUCAAAACACAAAUGAAGGCUCUUCUGGUAAAGAUCUAUUUAAAAUAUCUGCAGUCAAAGGCAUAUUCCAUAUCUGAAAGUAGCUCUUUCAUACAGAUCCCUUCAUUUUUCCUCUAAAACGAUUUUUACUUCUUUCAGUAUUUUGAAGCUUUUACAGGUGUGGAUGACUGGGCUAGAGGUAGAUGUGCCUCAUCCCAACCUCUUUUAUUAUGUUCAGACAACAGAAUCUUUGCUUGAGCCAAGCAAAUUAUUUACAGACAAACCCCACCUGACUUAGCAGCACAUUUGCUAGUCCUGCACGCAAGAGGUGUGUUUUUUUCUUAUGCUAAGUCACCUCUGGAAUGUAUUUAACGAGCUCAUUCUCCCUAAGUCAUGCAUAGCUUAAAUUCAGGGCAGGCCACUAAAACUGGUCAGAACAGUCUCUGAGGGCUGCUCUCAGCGUUUGACAAGAUGGGCCUAUAAAAUACCCUCAAAUAGUCUUGUGGACAAAAGCACAAACCCCUUGGUUUCCACAGAUGGUGACUUGAGCGUUCAGGGGAAGAGGUGGCAGGAAGAUAAUCACUGUGGGAAUGUCCUGUGUCACAUGCAGCACCUUUGUUUGUAACUGGACUUAGCACCAUCCCUUGCAUCUGAAUUCAGCUUAAUGGGGAAGCACAGAAGACUUUCAUUACGGCAUUGACCCAUGAUUAUGGCCAGCAAACUCGUGUAAUACAUCCAUGAAAACCCUCAGAAAAUCUGUGGCAUCUGGUCCAGAACUUCAUGUGGCAGCUCUGCAGAAUUAUAUUUCUCCAGAAAUAAAGUACAGGUUACAGAAGCAUAUAGGGUUUAACGACUGGGUCUGCCAAAACCCAGCUCCAGGUUGUGACAGAACCGUGUUGAAGUAUUCCUAUGAAAGGUUUAUUCUAUUUUUACAGCUGUAUUAUUGUUGUGACUCUUCAGAUUUCUAUUUUAGAGGUCACCUAGAAAAGUAGAAGUGAUGUACAAGUACAAAGAUUAUGUAAAGCCCUACAGCUGGGGUUGCAGUGUCUUUUCCAGGGAAUCUGGGACAGCAGCACCGAAGUUGUGGCUCCUUCUCACAUCAUCUUCAGUAGCACUGCAGCAAGCAGAGGAAAACCAGAGCUGCAGGUCAUCUGGGAUGGUGCAGAGUUCCUGACUGACAGCUAACCAAAUGUAACCUCUGGAUUUGGAAAUGAAGCAAUUUGGUAUAGGAAUGUGAGAAAUAACUCCUAGCAGAGGCCACAGUGGCAUUUUCAGAGAAGUCCUAAUAAUUAUAUAACUGUACUUGAAGCAGCUGUAUUGCUUCUUUCUCUGAUCUCCUCUCAGUGCAGAAUGAAUUCUUGUGGAUUAGCUUGUUAAUAGACAAUCCUAUUUAGUGGGUAUCUGUGCUGCAAGGCAGCCUUGGCUUCCCACCCAUCCAGUCUGGAAUGUUUAUAUUUAGCUAUUUUCUGGAAACAGAGCUCCAGCUGCAGCACAUAGCAAUUAUUUGGAUGGAUCUUGUUUUUCCUCAGGAUAUGUCUAUUUUUUUGGUGUAGACUGAACAGUCUUGCUGGAAAUAUGUCACUUUGCCUGAGCAGAGUUUUGAAGAAUAGUGUAUUUAACUAGUAUGGCUCCAGAUCUGUGUUAGAGCUUGAUGAGACUUGCAGCCAUCCCACAUUCCUUUGGGAUGUAUAUUACUGUUAUUAAAAACUGAUUUGUAAAUACCUAGGGUGUUCCAGGGCAACGUUAGUAGCUGGAAGCUCCAGGGAGAAAAGAAAUAUCAAAUUAUUUCAGUACAUUUUGCCUCUCUAACAAACAUCUCGACAUUUCCUGAUGUUGAGAUGCUUCUUCACUCUGUUGGAGGAUGGUGCUAAACACUAUUAAAUGAAUGGACACUGAGCCUCUCUUCUGCUCCAGAAGUAAGUGAAAAUCAGGCACCAAAGGAGUAAUCCCCAUGGAGAAAUUUUCUAUAUGCAUAUUAAAUUCCUCUGGCACCUGCUGUGCUGAAGGGCUUCCAGCAAGCUGUGGAUGAAGUGAUGGGAGGAACCUGUCAAUUUUAAUGAGUUUUAGGAUCAUUAUCUUUAUCCUUUACCAUUCUUUGCACAGCUGUCACAGUUUUUGAUCCCACUGCUGAUGGCUGGUUUGACAUUCAGAACUUGCUGCAGUCAUUUCUUGAGCUCAGGUGUGGGCUAUAAAUGUAUGGCUGGGUGAAAUACCACAGAAAAGAGACAUUGAGAGAUUCUGCUUUUGAAAAUGGUUUGAAAGGUGUUGUGGUGGCAUGAACCAAGGGGAUCUCUGCUUUAGUUUUCCAAAUGGAGGUAUCUUCUAUACAUUGUAAGGCUAAGCAGCCCUUGCUGAAGCAGGAAACUGGAAGAAGCCUGGGUCAAGCAUUAUCCUCUGGCAGACAAGUCCAAAUGAAAGGUGAUCAAAUCCCCAACUCUCACCUACUGAGCAUUUUGCAUUUAUGCUGGAGAAAUAAACAAAAGUCCUCUGUUACCUUGCAGUAGUGACAGAGCAAGCCCUGAAAAUGCUGCAGGAAUGCCCCACUGUGCUCUGUGUCCCACAGUCACUGCUGCUGCUCCCAAACACAGGUGGCAGGGAGUUUGGCCCCCAGGAGCAGUGCUGCAGACUUCCCGUGGCUCCUGCCUCUCCAGGAAGAUCAGAGCUGCACAGCCCCACUUGGGACCCCAAGGGGAAGCGUUUCCUGUCAGGGACAGGAUAACACCCCUGGACACACACAGCCCUUUCCUCUGGCCCAGCUGCCCAAGAAGCUCAUAAACACAGAAAAUCAAGGUUUUUUUAACCAGUUAGCAGAACAAAAGUGGCUGGAGGUCAAAUUCUAAACCCUGCAGGAACACACUAUCUUCUACAGACUCUGUAUCAGGGAGCAGCAGCACCUCCCAGGCACAAAACUGUAUAGAUAAUAUUCCUGAAUUGGAUCAAGUCUCCUCAGUAUGUUAUCAGUUUUAACUAAGAGAAUAGUGCUGUAAUUACAGGCUAUAAAGUAAAUUGAGCACCAUACUUGCUAUAUAGACGUAAUUGCUGGAAUUUCAGUAUCUUAUCCCUUUUCUUCAAGAAAUGAAUAAGGAAGGGGAGUCAGGCUUUUGGGCUAAGCACCACAAAGACCAAGUUCACUCCUGUAAAAUAAUAAAGGAGAAUUCAGGGGGACCUGAAAUUAGCCUAAUGAAAUAUUAUUUUAUUUAUUGCUACAGUAUAAUUUUUUGGUAGGUGAAGUAAUUCUGAACUCUCAUUGAAAAUACUGCAACAGAAGCAUUAUGACAAAAAGAAAUCUGAGUUGGUUACAAAGAAGCUUCAGCAUUUAAACAGUAUCAUUUAAAAAUCAAGGGACAGGCAUAUUAUUCACAACAGCAAACCCAGAAAGUGAUUUUCUUAAUGUAUUUUUUUAAUCCUUAUAUUAUCAUAUCUGCUCUGCUGCAAUAACCCAGCUGGGUUUUUCCCCCUCCUAAGAAAAGCCAGAUGCCCUCUUUCUAUCUGCCAACAGGCAC
rnacentral:lncRNA from 1 species